rnacentral:rRNA from 1 species
UACAGGGGGUGCAAACGUUGCUCGGAAUUAUUGGGCGUAAAGCGCGCGUAGGCGGCUACUUAAGUCGGAUGUGAAAGCCCUUGGCUCAACUGAGGAAGUGCACCCGAAACUGAGUAGCUGGAGUACGAAAGAGGGUCGCGGAAUUCCCGGUGUAGAGGUGAAAUUCGUAGAUAUUCGGAGGAACACCAGUGGCGAAGGCGGCUCACUGGUCCGGUACUGACGCUGAGGUGCGAAAGCGUGGGGAGCAAACAGG